CCCGAGGUGAUGGUUCACGGCAUGGGCAAUGGCGAGGAUGACCAGGACCAGGCGCCAGAUGAUGCACCCCUACGCACAAAUAAUCUUGACUGAUGGGAGCUGUCAGUCAGAGGAUGGAGGAUCAAGAGGUCUGUGCCAGAGGUGACAGAGCUGACUCCCACAUGUCAAGUUUUUCCAUGCUGAAAUGUGAAAGGACAUGGCUGCUCACUUUAGCUCGACAUGUAAUACAUGUAUACACCAACAUGAUACACCCAAAUAAAAGCAAGUUACUGUAGGCUGUGUGUAUGUGGUGUUCACAACUCUCAACUCCUUGUUUCUGCUUUCUUUGAAAUAAGUUUAAUCACCACAAUUACAGCAUGAACGGCUUUUCAUAACAUCUUAUGAACAGAUCAAGGCAAAGGAUGGUAAUGCAAUAUAAAAUUAGAUUGUUCAAUAAAACUAAAAGUGUGAUCCAUGCUCUAUGUAUCAGAAAUCCAACUCCUUUUCCAAAGUGCAAGAAAUUAGUAAAUGACAUCAUGCACACAAUGCUGCAACGUGCUCUCUCUGGUGAGAGACAUCUUUAACACAAACAUAAACGAAAAAUAGAAAAUACAUUAAAGCACAUUGUAUAACUUAAGCUUUAUAGAUAGUCUUUAAUUGUCGGCUUUUUCUUAAUCGUAAAUAUUACUAUAGAUGUUUGCCAAUGUGUUUAGAAACAACAGUAAGCUGUCCGUAAUAAUAACAUAUCACCUUGAAAAAUGGCAUUCAUGUCUGUUGAUGAAAGCCCAUAUACUGUAUUGGCGAUACAUUAUCUAGAAUUAGCCUUUUAAACGUUUUGCUAGCAUUGGUUCUUACUAAGAAAUUCCAAUAUAUUGUUUUAUUGUAUUGUUACUUAUCGCAUUAAUCUGAAUGACUUCCAUAAUUAUGUUGUCUUCUUUCUUCAUGAAAUACAACACAUACUGCAUGUUGUAGUAGUGAAGAGAUUUCUUUAACCUACUGCCAAAUAGACUAUUUUUAGAAUGUUCUUUAGUUGUUCAUCUCGUUUUGCUUCCUGAGGUGGAUGAUGUGCACAGGUUGUGAGUUCUCCUGGAUGGAGUCAUUUCAUCAUGACCUUUUGAGACUCUGUUUCUGUUACUUUUUUGUGCAGCUGCGGGUGAUAAUGAAAUAAGGGGAAGGGUUGAGGUGAGAAUUGGGACAAAGCUACAAAUCUUCCCAGCACCUUCUUUCAACCCUCAGCCUCUCACAUGAAUAAAACCACGUUGGCCGAG